ACACAUGCAGUCGAACGGCAGCACGGGAGCAAUCCUGGUGGCGAGUGGCGAACGGGUGAGUAAUACAUCGGAACGUGCCCAAUCGUGGGGGAUAACGCAGCGAAAGCUGUGCUAAUACCGCAUACGAUCUACGGAUGAAAGCAGGGGACCGCAAGGCCUUGCGCGAAUGGAGCGGCCGAUGGCAGAUUAGGUAGUUGGUGAGGUAAAGGCUCACCAAGCCUUCGAUCUGUAGCUGGUCUGAGAGGACGACCAGCCACACUGGGACUGAGACACGGCCCAGACUCCUACGGGAGGCAGCAGUGGGGAAUUUUGGACAAUGGGCGAAAGCCUGAUCCAGCAAUGCCGCGUGCAGGAUGAAGGCCUUCGGGUUGUAAACUGCUUUUGUACGGAACGAAACGGUUCUUUCUAAUAAAGAGAGCUAAUGACGGUACCGUAAGAAUAAGCACCGGCUAACUACGUGCCAGCAGCCGCGGUAAUACGUAGGGUGCAAGCGUUAAUCGGAAUUACUGGGCGUAAAGCGUGCGCAGGCGGUUAUGUAAGACAGUUGUGAAAUCCCCGGGCUCAACCUGGGAAUUGCAUCUGUGACUGCAUAGCUAGAGUACGGUAGAGGGGGAUGGAAUUCCGCGUGUAGCAGUGAAAUGCGUAGAUAUGCGGAGGA
rnacentral:rRNA from 1 species